CAGUCUAUCAGACAAUUUUUUGCUAAAUGUAUUAUUUAUACGUCAUUACACGGCUCUAUUAAAUGCUAUUAAAAUAUCCUCACCUUAUCCAUUGGGAGUGUCAUUGUUAAGGCAGUAGUACCAGUAAAUAACCAAUAGGUGUCAGUAAUCCGCGGGAGAGCUUCGCUGCAUAUUUCUCUUCAAGAUUGAGAAUCGCAACGAAAUCCUCGUCGAGCAACACGUCCACUGAGCAACCAUGUCUGUGUCCUUAAAGGAACUCUGUCAGGUACAGAGUGGAACGAUGAACUUGAAAAUCAACCAUUCUGAUGACUGGCGUCCCCAUCCGAGUCACCACCUCAGACAACAACAGUCAUAAACUCACAAACACAAAUACACUCAGUAAUGCGCUUAAUAAAGAAAGACUUAACUAUGA